UCCUACGGGAGGCAGCAGUGGGGAAUAUUGGACAAUGGGCGAAAGCCUGAUCCAGCCAUGCCGCGUGUGUGAAGAAGGUCUUCGGAUUGUAAAGCACUUUAAGUUGGGAGGAAGGGCAGUUACCUAAUACGUGAUUGUUGACGUACCGACAGAA
rnacentral:rRNA from 2 species